rnacentral:lncRNA from 1 species
UUUUUAGUCAGAACAGCUGCAUUCUAUUCACAUAAUAAUUCACAUGGAAUUCUUUGCAAGGAAGAUAUUAAUUUAUAUAAAUACAUAAAUUUUUCUUGGCAGUCGAUGAACAAUAAUAUCUUCCAUCAUCGUUUAGAAAACCUGGUAAAAGAUUUUGUACAAGAACAGAAUAUCAUAAUAUAAUGUAUUAGCCAUUUGUUUUCCUAAUUUGUGAUAACUAGGAUGCAUUCCUUCUGCUAAUCUUCUGAUAGAAUAUAACUGCAUAUGAUUUCUUCCCAAUGUACGCAACCAAAUUGAAGACAGUCAUCUGAAAAACCAGAGAAAUAUAUUCAUAUGAAAAUUUUUGAAGUGAAAACUUUUUUAGAAUGGGUGUAAUUUGGAAAAAUGUAACGGUAAUUGUAAAAAAUGAAGCGGUAGGCCGCUGCGUAACGGAACGGUAGGAGGCUAUGAAACGAAAGCGAUACUAAAUAAGAGCAGAGAAAGAGACAAACAUAUAGGAUUGAGCCUGCGAGAGAAUGAGACAGAAUAUAGCUCUACAGUUUUUCCUAUUCCCUGGCUUUGAUUCGUGGUCCUCACUCCUGGUUACUAAGUUGUGUGUAUGUGUGUGUGUUGUGUGUCAAACAAUGGCAAGCACUGUUAGUGGCGUAAUGUUGCUACGUCAGAGCGUUACUAUGGUAACCAUCAACGGUUUUUUACAUACAACUAAACCGUACUAGUACUUUGCCCGUUACAAAAAUAUGUGUGUGUGUGUGUGUGUGUGUGUGGCGAAGGACAAGAGCAAGCUUGUUGUAUGACGUCACGUUACUACGUAAGAGCGUUACGAGUGAGUGAAAACAAAGCAAGCUGGUUGCCGGGAGAGUUCUUGUUUACGAGAGAGAAAGAGAGAAAGGGAGAACGAUACGUGCGAUAAAGAAGUGUGAUUAAACGAUAGAAUUAAGUUGAAUUUGAGCGAUAUUAAACGAUCGAUUUUGAGAGUAAAUAAGCGUGAAAGUGUGCAGUGAGUGACGAUACAAUACGAGCAGUUUAGCGUUUUAGUUUAAUAGCGAUUCGUUACGUGCGAUUUAGUGUCUAAGAGUUUUCAAGAAGCAGCGGAGGGAGUUCAUCUAAUUAUUGCGUGUGAAUUGUUUUAAACGGAUUGUAAUUUAUUAACUUGUUUAAUAAAAAAAGGUGUUUUGUUUUCUAUUUUUUUUUUUUGAGUGGUACCGGCUACGCAAAGAAUUCAGAUAUCCUUAGCCGGAUACGUAAUAAGUGUUUUCCCUACACUGUUGUCUGAAUAUACCAAGUAUAAGAUCGGAAAACAGUCUUCCUUUAAAUUUAACUGUAUACUGAGCAUUGUUUUCUAUGCAAAUACUUUUAUACUAUGUUUUAUAUAUGACUUUCUGAGUGUGGAACAAGCAUAUAUAUGUGAGUGUUUGCGUGAAAGAAAGAGAUANGGAAUGGUUGCUUUGUUAGGAUGCGUGCGUCUAGCGUGAGGAUGACGGAACGAGAGGCGACCACCGUUCGUUGUUUGUCGUCGUCGAGCUACUGUUGUUUGUGUGUUAUGUGUAUGCGUGUNUGGUGAAGCAAGCAUAAGCUUUGUGUAUGACGCAUAAUAGCCGAGGGUGGGAGAUGAAGCAUCCGGUGUGCAUUGUGAGUGUGUGCGUGUGUAGCGAAGAACAAGCAUAAGCUUGUUAUAUGACGUCACGAUAGCCGAGGGUGGGAGUAGAAGCAUCCGGUUUGUUAUAAUUGUGUGAGUGCGUGAGUGCGUGAGUGUGUGAUAAAGCGCUUGACAAAAGAAAGCUCGGCUCGUCGCAGAAUGUUGCUUACAUCAGAGCAAGGUUCGGCGCGUGGUAAGAUGUUAUCAGUUUCUACAAAGGCAAGCUCAGCGCGUGGCGUGAUGUCGUUACGUCGGAGCGUUGCUAAGCAGCUCA